rnacentral:rRNA from 1 species
GGAUUAGAUACCCUGGUAGUCCACGCCGUAAACGAUGAUUACUCGGUAUUGGCUUCGGUCAGUGCCCAAGCGAAAGUGAUAAGUAAUCCACCUGGGGAGUACGCCCGCAAGGGUGAAACUCAAAGGAAUUGACGGGGGCCCGCACAAGCGGUGGAGCAUGUGGUUUAAUUCGAUGAUACGCGAGGAACCUUACCAGGGUUUAAAUGCAGAACGACAGGGGUGGAAACACCCCCUUCUUCGGACGGACUGCAAGGUGCUGCAUGGUUGUCGUCAGCUCGUGCCG